CCCACGGGGGGCAGCAGUGGGGAAUAUUGGACAAUGGGGGGAACCCUGAUCCAGCCAUGCCGCGUGUGUGAAGAAGGCCCUCGGGUUGUAAAGCACUUUCAGUGAGGAAGAACGCCUGGUGGUUAAUACCCAUCAGGAAAGACAUCACUCACAGAAGAAGCACCGGCUAACUCCGUGCCAGCAGCCGCGGUAAUACGGAGGGUGCGAGCGUUAAUCGGAAUUACUGGGCGUAAAGCGCGCGUAGGUGGCUUGAUAAGCCGGUUGUGAAAGCCCCGGGCUCAACCUGGGAACGGCAUCCGGAACUGUCAAGCUAGAGUGCAGGAGAGGAAGGUAGAAUUCCCGGUGUAGCGGUGAAAUGCGUAGAGAUCGGGAGGAAUACCAGUGGCGAAGGCGGCCUUCUGGACUGACACUGACACUGAGGUGCGAAAGCGUGGGUAGCAAACAGGAUUAGAUACCCGAGUAGUC
rnacentral:rRNA from 1 species